rnacentral:RNase_P_RNA from 1 species
AGAGCAGGCGAGGCAGUUGCAGGUUGAGCCUAGUGCUCAGCGUGAGGAAAGUCCGGGCUUCCGAAAGACCAAACUUGCUGGGUAAUGCCCAGUGCGGGCGACCGUGAGGAGAGUGCCACAGAAACAUACCGCCGAUGGGAAGGCAGAAGGCAGAAGGCAGAAGGCAGAAGGUUGAUUCUGCUUCAGCUUUUCUAAUUCAUUCUUUUACAGGUAAGGGUGCAAGGGUGCGGUAAGAGCGCACCAGCAGCAUCGAGAGGUGCUGGCUCGGUAAACCCCGGUUGGAAGCAAGGUCGUAGGGGCAACGGUUGGUCUUUUCCGGCUCCGUUUUAAGUGUACCGCUGGAGGCGUCUGGUAACAGCCGUCGUAGAUAGAUAACUGCCCUGCUGAUGUGAGUUAGCAGAACAGAACCCGGCUUAUGUCCGGCUCUUUCC